rnacentral:rRNA from 1 species
CAGUAGCCACGGUAAUACGUAGGGCGCAAGCGUUAUCCGGAAUUAUUGGGCGUAAAGAGCUCGUAGGCGGUUUGUCGCGUCUGCCGUGAAAGUCCGGGGCUCAACCCCGGAUCUGCGGUGGGUACGGGCAGACUAGAGUGAUGUAGGGGAGACUGGAAUUCCUGGUGUAGCGGUGAAAUGCGCAGAUAUCAGGAGGAACACCGAUGGCGAAGGCAGGUCUCUGGGCAUUAACUGACGCUGAGGAGCGAAAGCAUGGGGAGCGAACAGGAUUAGAUACCCGAGUAGCCCUGUCUCUUAUACA